rnacentral:rRNA from 1 species
GCGCACCAGUCGAGAACCUCCGCAAUACACGAAAGUGUGACGGGCCAUCCCGAGUGCCGUCCGCUGAGGACGGCUUUCCCCAGUGUACAUAGCUGGGGAAUAAGGAGAGGGCAAGCCUGGUGUCAGCCGCCGCGGUAAUACCAGCUCUCCGAGUGGUGGGGACGCUUAUUGGGCCUAAAGCAUCCGUAGCCGGCUGGGCAAGUCCUCCGUUAAAUCCAACGAUUCAAUCGUUGGGCUGCGGGGAUACUGUCCAGCUUGGGGGCGGGAGAGGCCGACGGUAUUCCCGGGGUAGGGGUGAAAUCCUAUAAUCCCGGGAGGACCACCAGUGGCGAAGGCUGUCGGCUAGAACGCGCCCGACGGUGAGGGAUGAAAGCUGGGGGAGCGAACCGGAUUAGAUACCCGGGUAGU